rnacentral:ncRNA from 1 species
GCCUCCCUGUGUUAGUUACGCAGCUUUCCCGAGUAAUCGGGAUUGAAAAAUAAGGUGAAUUGCUGGAAACCCUAACGUAGAGUCGAGGGUAAUCAGCAGCCCAGCCCCGCCGCGGCGGGGAAGGUUCAGAGACUAUCCCUUCGGGGAGUACUCCGGCUCAGGCCGGCGGAAGCGCCUUACGCCCUUCGGGGCGAUGAUAUAGUCCACCCCCAAAAGAGAUUUCGGG